CCAUUAUAUUGUUAUCUCAAUUUUGUUCACUUUAUGCCAAACGUAGUAUAUUGCGUGUUAAUAACGUACCAGUCGUUAUUGCAUGACUGCUACAGCAUAUAAACAUCACCGAAGGCACAUAAAAGAAUCACUUGGCUUGAAUAAUUACUUUGAGUUGGUUGCAAAUUCUGAGCGAAAGAAUAUCUUUUACGAAAAGGCAUUCACAUACAAGCACUGAUAUUGAUGCCUUGGCG